UAUAAUUUUUUUCUUUGUUAUAAUUUUUCAAUCUUAAAAUUUUAAUAGUUAUAUAUCUUAAUUAGCUGAUAUACUAUAUAUCCACCCGGAAGCGCGGGUGCUACACCGGUUUUUAUUAAAUAGAUCUCUACGAUCUAACUUUUCGCUUAAACUAUUAAACUUUAAAUAUUUUACUAGUUAAGAGACACGUGCGAUGCUGCGGAUAGUUAUUUUAAGAUUUAAUUUUAAAAAUUAGUUAUAAAUAUUAAUUUCAGAAUUUAAUUGGUGCAAUAAGUACAUCAAAAACUUUUAGUAGGCAUAGUAGUCCCCCAUUAGUUAGUGAAAUAAUUUUAGUAGGUAUCGUAGUCCCCCAGUAGUUAGUGAAUGAGAAGAGAAAUCAUUGUUUGUGAUUCUUGCAAUUAGUUUUCGUCAAAUAUAAAAUUAACUUAAACUGCAUCAAUUUUUUUUUAUUUUUUAAUGUAUAAUUUAUAUGUGUAUUCUCAAUAUUGUAAAAUUAAUAUUUAUAUCUAAUACCAGUAGUCUAAAUUAUUUAACAUUUAUUUAUAUAUUUUACAUUUUAUAAGAAUAAAUAAUAAAUUAUUAUAUAAUAAUAUAUCUAUAUACAAAUAAAAUACUAUAUAUAAUAAAUAAAUAUAUAUUUAUAAAUAAAAUUAUAUAU
rnacentral:lncRNA from 1 species